rnacentral:rRNA from 1 species
AGUGAACGCUGGCGGUAGGCCUAACACAUGCAAGUAGAACGGCAGCACAGUAAGAGCUUGCGCUUACGGGUGGCGAGUGGCGGACGGGUGAGGAAUACAUCGGAAUCUACUUUUUCGUGGGGGAUAACGUAGGGAAACUUACGCUAAUACCGCAUACGACCUACGGGGGAAAGCAGGGGAUCUUCGGACCUUGCGCGAUUGAAUGAGCCGAUGUCGGAUUAGCUAGUUGGCGGGGUAAAGGCCCACCAAGGCGACGAUCCGUAGCUGGUCUGAGAGGAUGAUCAGCCACACUGGAACUGAGACACGGUCCAGACUCCUACGGGAGGCAGCAGUGGGGAAUAUUGGACAAUGGGCGCAAGCCUGAUCCAGCCAUACCGCGUGGGUGAAGAAGGCCUUCGGGUUGUAAAGCCCUUUUGUUGGGAAAGAACAGCAGCAGGUUAAUCCCCCGCUGUUCUGACGGUACCCAAAGAAUAAGCACCGGCUAACUUCGUG